AGUCUGUAGCAAACAAGGCAACCCACAGUCUCUGACAGGGUCAAGAAGACCUCGCUGGCUCCAAUGGGGGAAGCCUCUUGAACUGGGUAUAGGAAAAAGUGGUAAUAUUUGUGCCAACAAAACAAAACAAAACCUAAGAGGGCCUUGUGGUUCACCCCUUGGAUUUCUAAGAAGCUACACUUCCGUAAUUAGACCACUGGGGGGCAGAAGAGCAACAAAAAUUCCUCAGCAUGGCUGACUCGCACCACCCUCUGGGCGCUCAUCAUUGCUGACUUGGUCUGCAACAGGCAGAGGAGGCUCAGGCACCUCAUUUUCAGCUCCCACCACCUCCUCCCAGCCACCCGAUCCAGAGAGAGAAAAUCAAGAUGCAGCAACUGGGGAAUCCAAAAAAAAAAUGGUUACAGCAGCUAAGAGGUCUACUGGUACAGGCCAGGGUGCUUGCUCCCAGUCUUCCAAAGGGCAAAGAAGGGGCCAGGUGGGGAGAACAGACAGCUGCCUGACCGAGGACCCAAAAAAAGUUGGAGGGAAGUGGAUAAGUCUGGGAGAGUUUCUUUUCCAAAUCAGAGGAAAGGUGGAUGUCUCUGAAGAGAGCCAGAGUUCCCAGUCGUUAACAAGCCCACUCAGCCUCAGGGUGCCUGCCUACACCAAUGAGGAGAAGACAAGUGGACAUGCACAGCUAAGGCCUGAAGGCAUCCAGGUCGACAGGAUGCUGCAGGUGAAAGGUGUUCCUUGGGGUCAGGGUAGGUGAGGUAAGCCCAACAGUGAGGCUGGGAGACAACAAAGACCAGGCAUCUCGGCCAUCUUCCACACAAGCAGAUGUGAGUGUGAAACAGACCUUAACAAAAGAUUCAGUCCUACUACAACCCUAGUACACGAGAGACUAGGGCAUGUUGUGUUACAAAAUACAACAACAACUCAAACCAACCCCUCCAACAACCACCACCACCACCAGUAAUAGCAACAAAGAACUGCUGAAGACUCAACAAGCUAAUCUGCGGACUGAAAUGGCCUCAGUUCCUUUUCCUAACAGCAGAACGAACCCUCUUCAGACAGAAAUCCGGAGACUCCAUCAGAUAAACUAUCUUCCUACCUUUCUGCCACUAUCCCUAACUUCUUCUUCUUUUUUUUUUUUUUGGUUUUUCGAGACAGGGUUUCUCUGUGUAGCUCUGGCUGUCCUCAAACUCAGAAAUCCGCCUGCCUCUGCCUCCCAAGUGCUGGGAUUAAAGGCGUACACCACCACGCCUGGCCAUCCCUAACUUCUAAUCCUGACACCCACUCCCCAAAUGCUAGAUUUAAAAAAAAAAAUCAGGGGGCUGGAGGGGUGGCUCAACGGUUAAGACCACUGACUCCAGAGGUCCUGAGUUCAGUUCCCAGCAACCAUCUGUAAUGGGAUCUGAUGCCUUCUUCUGAUAUGUCUGACAGUUACAGUGUACUCAUAUAAAUAAAAUAAAUCUUUGUUUA